GACGUAGGUGGCGAACGUUAUCCGGAAUCAUUGGGCGUAAAGGGUGCGUAGAUGGCAUAAUAAGUUAUUAGUGGGAAAUCGAGGCUCAACCUCGUGGAAGCUGGUAAUACUGUUUUGCUUGAGUGCAGGAGAGGUUAACGGAACUCCAUGUGGAGCGGUAAAAUGCGUAGAUAUAUGGAAGAACAUCAAUAACGGCGAAGGCAGUUAACUAUUCUGUUACUGACAUUGAGGCACGAAAGCGUGGGGAGCAAAACGG
rnacentral:rRNA from 1 species